AACGAACGCUGGCGGCAUGCCUAACACAUGCAAGUCGAACGAGAACUUCCGGCCUUGUGGCGCAGGUGUGGUUAACGCCUGGGAACUUGCCCGUGGGUUCGGAACAACUCACCGUAGGGGGUGUUAAUACCGGAUGGUCUAUUCCGGCCUAAGAUUUCUCGCGAUUGGAUGGGCCUGUGUUGGAUUAGCUAGUUGGUAGGGGAGUAGCCUGCCAAGGCGACGAUGCAUAGCUGGUCGGAGAGGAGGAUCAGCCACACUGGAACUGAGACACGGCCCAGUCGCCUACGGAAGAGAGCGGUGGGGAAUAUUGGAGGAUGAGGCAGAGCAUGAUCCAGCAGUGCCGCGGGAGUGAGGAAGGCCUUAGGAUUGUAAAUCCGUUUUCCCCGAGAUGUGAAUGACAGUACCGGGAGAAUAAGCUCCGGCUAACUCCGUG
rnacentral:rRNA from 1 species